UACGGAGGAUCCGAGCGUUAUCCGGAUUUAUUGGGUUUAAAGGGUGCGCAGGCGGAAGAUUAAGUCGGUGGUGAAAUUUUGCAGCUCAACUGUAAAAGUGCCAUUGAUACUGGUUUUCUUGAGUGUGGAUGAAGUAGGCGGAAUUUGUGGUGUAGCGGUGAAAUGCAUAGAUAUCACGAGGAACUCCGAUUUCGCAGGCAGCUUACUAAACCAUAACUGACGCUCAGGCACGAAGGCGUGGGGAUCAAACAGGAUUAGAUACCCGU
rnacentral:rRNA from 1 species